rnacentral:rRNA from 1 species
GAAGACGGCCCUAUGGGUUGUAAACUGCUUUUWUACAGGAAGAAUAAUCACCACGUGUGGUGAGAUGACGGUACUGUAAGAAUAAGGACCGGCUAACUCCGUGCCAGCAGCCGCGGUAAUACGGAGGGUCCGAGCGUUAUCCGGAAUCAUUGGGUUUAAAGGGUCCGCAGGCGGGCAAUUAAGUCAGGGGUGAAAUGGUGCGGCUCAACCGUAGCACUGCCCUUGAUACUGGUUGUCUUGAGUUGUGGUGAAGUGGCCGGAAUAUGUAGUGUAGCGGUGAAAUGCAUAGAUAUUACAUAGAACACCGAUCGCGAAGGCAGGUCACUAACCACUAACUGACGCUGAUGGACGAAAGCGUGGGGAGCGAACGGGAUUAGAUACCCCGGUAGUCCACGCUGUAAACGAUGGAUACUAGCUGUCGGGACGCAAGUCUCGGUGGCCAAGCGAAAGUGAUAAGUAUCCCACCUGGGGAGUACGUUCGCAAGAAUGAAACUCAAAGGAAUUGACGGGGGCCCGCACAAGCGGUGGAGCAUGUGGUUUAAUUCGAUGAUACGCGAGGAACCUUACCAGGGCUUAAAUGCAUAAUGACAGGUCUAGAGAUAGACUUUUCUUCGGACAUUUUGCAAGGUGCUGCAUGGUUGUCGUCAGCUCGUGCCGUGAGGUGUCAGGUUAAGUCCUAUAACGAGCGCAACCCUUGCCGUCAGUUGCCAGCAAGUAAUG